rnacentral:rRNA from 1 species
UACAGAGGUCUCAAGCGUUGUUCGGAUUCAUUGGGCGUAAAGGGUGCGUAGGCGGCGCGGUAAGUCGGGUGUGAAAUCUUGGAGCUUAACUCCGAAACUGCAUUCGAUACUGCCGUGCUUGAGGACUGGAGAGGAGACUGGAAUUUACGGUGUAGCGGUGAAAUGCGUAGAUAUCGUGAAGGAAGACCAGUGGCGAAGGCGGGUCUCUGGACAGUUCCUGACGCUGAGGCACGAAGGCCAGGGGAGCAAACGGG